GUUGGACAAGGGAGCAGCUCAUAUUUAUUGUGGGACCUCGAGAGGCCAAGGAAUCAGCUGCUUCUGUCCGUGUGAGCAUUCCUCUUCAGUAUCAUGAUGCAAAAUGAAAUGCACAUCAAUUAUUACAGAAAACUUUAAAACCAGGCCUCUUUAGUAACAGAGAAUUGUGUCUUGGAGGGACUAAAUCCACCAAAACAUCCUGGGAAAGCCUAAGAUCAGCCAAAUUGCAGCAUAACCUUCCAGCAUUCUGAACAGAAGCAAGGGAGCAGGAAAAUGGUGCCAGUCUCUAACUGUGUGGAACAGGAUAAUGAGGCAGGUUUCUCUCCAUGGUCUGAGCCUUGAAUUGAUCUUACUCUACAGGCAUGGAUGGUUUGGAAUGGCUGUUCCAUGGUUUCCCUCUUUGUUGCCACCACAAUCUGUAAAGCUUGGAGAGAGAACACGUCUUCAUUCAGCUUUGCAAAAAAGGUCUAAUUCAGGUUUAGACUGAGGAUAUCAGAGGAUGGAAGACAUUGGAGCAAGGACAAGAAAAGGCAAGUCUGCAACCUACCAUAGUACUGAAGGAAAGCUGUAACUUAGAGGCUUGACUCCAACAGGAAAUUUUCUUCAGAAAGGAAACA